CCCUGAGCCCGUGGCCCCCCCAGAUCCGCAUCGACAAGCUGGUGGACAAAUGGUCGGGCUCCAUCGAGAUCGGGGUCACGGCGCACAACCCCAACAGCCUGGAGUACCCGGCCACCAUGACCAACCUGCGCUCGGGGACGAUCAUGAUGAGCGGCUGCGGGAUCCUGACCAACGGCAAAGGGACGCGCCGGGAGUACUGCGAGUUCAGCCUGGACGAGCUGCAGGAGGGGGAUCACAUCGGGCUGACCCGGAAGGCCAACAACGCCCUGCACUUCUACAUCAACGGCGUGGACCAAGGUGGGGCCCCAAAA